GACGAACGCUGGCGGCGUGCUUAACACAUGCAAGUCGAACGGAAAGGCCCUGCUUUUGUGGGUUUCUCGAGUGGCGAACGGGUGAGUAACACGUGAGUAACCUGCCCUUGACUUUGGGAUAUCUUCAGGAAACUGGGGCUAAUACCGGAUAGGAGCUCCUGCUGCAUGGUGGGGGUUGGUAAGUUUCGGCUGUUGGGGAUGGACUCGCUGCUUAUCCGCUUGUUGGUGUGGUAGUGGCUUACCAAGGGUUUGACGGGUAGCCGGCCUGAGAGGGUGAACGGGGACAAUGGGACUGAGAGACGGCGCAGACGGGUACGGGAGGCAGCAGGGGGGAAUAUUACAGAAUGGGGGGAAGCGUGAGGCAGAAACGCCGGGAGCGGGAUGACGGGCUUCGGGUUGAAAACAGAUGUGGCAGGUGACGAAGAGUGAGUGACGGUAAUGGGUAAAGAAGCACCGGCUAACUACGUG
rnacentral:rRNA from 1 species